GACGAACGCUGGCGGCGUGCCUAAUACAUGCAAGUAGAACGCUGAAGGAGGAGCUUGCUUCUCUGGAUGAGUUGCGAACGGGUGAGUAACGCGUAGGUAACCUGCCUGGUAGCGGGGGAUAACUAUUGGAAACGAUAGCUAAUACCGCAUAAGAGUAGAUGUCGCAUGACAUUUGCUUAAAAGGUGCAAUUGCAUCACUACCAGAUGGACCUGCGUUGUAUUAGCUAGUUGGUGAGGUAACGGCUCACCAAGGCAACGAUACAUAGCCGACCUGAGAGGGGGAUCGGCCACACUGGGACUGAGACACGGCCCAGACUCCUACGGGAGGCAGCAGUAGGGAAUCUUCGGCAAUGGACGGAAGUCUGACUGAGCAACGCCGCGUGAGUGAAGAAGGUUUUCGGAUCGUAAAGCUCUGUUGUAAGAGAAGAACGAGUGUGAGAGUGGAAAGUUCACACUGUGACGGUAUCUGACCAGAAAGAGACGGCUAACUACGUG
rnacentral:rRNA from 1 species